UUAAUGUCGAUGCGCCACUUCCGGAACCAC
rnacentral:piRNA from 1 species